GCGUGGCUCAGUGGUAAGACAUCUUCUUGGCAUGAAGGAGGUCCUGGGCUCAAUUCCUGGCAUCUGUA
rnacentral:tRNA from 1 species